AUUGAACGCUGGCGGCAGGCCUAACACAUGCAAGUCGAACGAGUGGCGGACGGGUGAGUAAUGUCUGGGAAACUGCCUGAUGGAGGGGGAUACCUCCUGGAAACGGUAGCUAAUACCGCAUACCAUCAGAUGUGCCCAGCAGGGAUUAGCGAGUUGGUGGGGUAACGGCCCACCAAGGCGACGAUCCCUAGCUGGUCUGGGAGGAUGACCAGCCACACUGGAACGUAGACACGGUCCAGCGGCCGACGGGAGGCAGCAGUGGGGAAUAUGGAGCAAUGGGCGCAAGCCUGAUGCAGCCAUGCCGCGUGUAUGAAGAAGGCCGUCGGGUUGUAAAGUACUUUCAGCGGGGAGGCGUUACCCGCAGAAGAAGCACAGGCUAACUCCGUGCCAGCAGCCGCGGUAAUAC
rnacentral:rRNA from 1 species